GAUCGAGAGAUGAGAUGAGAUCGAUCGACGGAGAGAGGAGACGAGAUCGAUCGAUCUAGAGAAGACGAGUCAUGAGAUCGAGAGAAGAGGGAAAAACAGAUCGAGAGGAAGAGAAGAAGACAGAUCCGCGACCAGAUUCGCGUUUCUCUAGCAUCAAACUCGCAAUUCUUCUACGAAUCUGAGUCAGAAGCGCAGAAUCGCGCUUUUGAGGAAGAAUCGUGAGCAAGUUGAACGAUUCCUGCUACUAAGGGCCAACUCCCAAUUGGCUUUGUAUGCAUUGUGGAUUGCAUAUUGUCCUAUUGAUUAAUUUGUAGUCCUUAUGAUUGUCGUUGUAUUGAACUGUCAGGCAUACAUGGCACUUAAUGAUAUAGAUGCUGCUGUCGAAAGUUUCAAGAAGGCAUUGGAAUUGGAGCCAAAUGAUGUUGGAAUAAAAAAGGAGCUGGCUGCUGCAAAGAAGAAGAUUUCAGAUAGACGAGAUCUGGAGAGAAAAGCAUAUUCUAAGAUGUUCCAAUAGCAGUUGGUGGUUGCAUGGCUACCAUUGUCUCUUAGGAACAAUAUACAGUUAGUUACUGUGCUGAUUCAAUGUUGGAUUGAGUGAACUUGUUCAGGCUUUUUCACACAUUCAGGUUUUCAUUUGAGGGUGAAGAACAUAAGCAUAUAUCCAAAACCGGCAAAACAACUGUACAAAUUUCUGGCCAGAGCCAAAUUUUAACAACUAGAUUAAUCUAUUUUUAUUUAUUUAUUUCUGAGUUGUUGUAGCUACCUGAUCCAAUGUCCAUAUUUCUCAAGGAACAACUACGUGUCUGGAGAGCAUUCAAUGGAGAUAUUUGCUUGACUAACCUCCUUUUUUUUUAUCACUGUUGGUUUUCGGUGUAUUGUCUUAAAAUUAUAUGGGUCCAUGAUAAUAACAUGUGCUGUAUUGGCUUUUACACUCAAGGGUUACUUUCUCGUCUUGUUUUUA